rnacentral:rRNA from 1 species
CCUACGGGGAGCAGCAGUGGGGAAUAUUGGACAAUGGGCGAAAGCCUGAUCCAGCCAUGCCGCGUGUGUGAAGAAGGCCUUCGGGUUGUAAAGCACUUUCAGUGGGGAAGAAAGCCUUGGGGCUAAUACCCUCGAGGAAGGACAUCACCCACAGAAGAAGCACCGGCUAACUCCGUGCCAGCAGCCGCGGUAAUACGGAGGGUGCGAGCGUUAAUCGGAAUUACUGGGCGUAAAGCGCGCGUAGGCGGUCUGAUAAGCCGGUUGUGAAAGCCCCGGGCUCAACCUGGGAACGGCAUCCGGAACUGUCAGGCUAGAGUGCAGGAGAGGAAGGUAGAAUUCCCGGUGUAGCGGUGAAAUGCGUAGAGAUCGGGAGGAAUACCAGUGGCGAAGGCGGCCUUCUGGACUGACACUGACACUGAGGUGCGAAAGCGUGGGUAGCAAACAGGAUUAGAUACCCUAGUAGUC